CAUGCUAGAGCACUUUUUUAAUGGGCUCCCCAACGGCAAGGAGACAACACAUUCGUAUGUCAUCCAUAGCAACUUUCGAUGCAAUUUACUGUGCCUACCAUGGUGACCACGGGUAACAGGAAAUUAGGGUUCGAUUCCGGAGAGGGAGCCUGAGAAACGGCUACCACAUGCAAGGAAGGCAG